rnacentral:lncRNA from 1 species
UGUACAGACUGCUGCUUCACUGGCUGGCUAGGUUGCUCUGUUCAGACUCACUGUUGCUCAUAUUGUUGCUAUAAACGCUUUGUACCAGCUUCGGUGGUCCACCACAGAAAUACAUCGCUUCCUCCUGUUGGCUAGUUGCCAGUGAGACUCAGCUAUUCUGG